GACGAACGCUGGCGGCGUGCUUAACACAUGCAAGUCGAACGGAAAGGCCCUGCUUUUGUGGGGUGCUCGAGUGGCGAACGGGUGAGUAACACGUGAGUAACCUGCCCUUGACUUUGGGAUAACUUCAGGAAACUGGGGCUAAUACCGGAUAGGAGCUCCUGCUGCAUGGUGGGGGUUGGAAAGUUUCGGCGGUUGGGGAUGGACUCGCGGCUUAUCAGCUUGUUGGUGGGGUAGUGGCUUACCAAGGCUUUGACGGGUAGCCGGCCUGUGAGGGUGACCGGCCAAAUUGGGACUGAGAUACGGCCCAGAAUCCUACGGGAGGCAGCAGUGGGGAAUAUUGCACAAUGGGCGGAAGCCUGAUGCAGCAACGCCGCGUGCGGGAUGACGGCCUUCGGGUUGUAAACCGCUUUCGCCUGUGACGAAGCGUGAGUGACGGUAAUGGGUAAAGAAGCACCGGCUAACUACGUG
rnacentral:rRNA from 1 species